rnacentral:sRNA from 1 species
GAUGCACCUGUGGAGAAACGGCCCCAGAGUUCCAGGAUUCCACCAAUGUGGCUUUCACCAUCUCUAUGCUUUUGGGCAACCUCAACAGCUGCUGCAACCCCUGGAUCUACAUGGGCUUCAACAGCCACCUGUUACCGCGGCCCCUGCGUCACCUUGCCUGCUGUGGGGGUCCCCAGCCCAAGAUGCGCCGGCGGCUCUCUGACGGCAGCCUCUCGAGCCGCCACACCACGCUGCUGACCCGCUCCAGCUGCCCGGCCACCCUCAGCCUCAGCCUCAGCCUAACCCUCAGUGGGAGGCCCAGGCCUGAAGAGUCACCAAGGGACUUGGAGCUGGCAGAUGGGGAAGGCACCGCUGAGACCAUCAUCUUUUAAGAAAGACUUGCUGGGGUCUGGUACUGCCCCCAGGACUAGUGGAGGUUCUCUGCCCACCGAGGGCACUGGACAUGAGAGCGGGGAGGGUAAGGGUUGGAGUUAGAGGAGCCCUGUCUGAAGCGGAGUGAAAAGGCCAGAAUGGACCCCCUACCCUGGUGUUACAGUUGCCCCUAG